rnacentral:rRNA from 1 species
CGCGUGGGUGACGUACCUGUUAGUUGGGGAAUAACUGCCCGAAAGGGUGGCUAAUUCCGCAUACGCCCGGUCUUUCGGUGGACUGGGGAAAGCCUUGUAAGAGGCGCUAAUGGAGCGGCCCGCGUUCGAUUAGCUCGUUGGUGGGGUAACGGCCUACCAAGGCGACGAUCGAUAGCUGGUCUCAGAGGAUGAUCAGCCAGACUGGGACUGAGACACGGCCCAG